rnacentral:rRNA from 1 species
UUGAAAGGGGAAACGAUUGAAGUCUAGUUACGUACUAUUGGGUAAUACAGCCUUUUGGGUCGUAGGAUUUUGUGGAGGGCGUUGGAGGAGUUAAACGCCUUCAUGCCUGCAUAUUCGUGCACUUUGGGUGUACUUGCCCGUGUGUAAGUUAGCAUCAAUUUUGGUGGUCAUAAAAUGGCUGGAGGAAUGUAGCUUCGAUCUUGUAUUGAAGUGUUAUAGCCUUCGGCAGAUGUGACGAUCGGGAUUGAGGAUUGCAACGGAUACCCUUCGGGGCUACCUGUCUGAUCUCUGAUUGUUGCUCUGGUGCCGAAAGCUUGCUUACGGUUAUCAAAGUCGAUUGUCAAUAGGUUAGAACGGGUUAAAUUCGUUAAGGAUGUUGACGUAAGUC